GAUGAACGCUGGCGGCGUGCCUAAUACAUGCAAGUCGAGCGAACAGACGAGGAGCUUGCUCCUCUGACGUUAGCGGCGGACGGGUGAGUAACACGUGGAUAACCUACCUAUAAGACUGGGAUAACUUCGGGAAACCGGAGCUAAUACCGGAUAAUAUAUUGAACCGCAUUGUUCAAUAGUGAAAGACGGUUUUGCUGUCACUUAUAGAUGGAUCCGCGCCGCAUUAGCUAGUUGGUAAGGUAACGGCUUACCAAGGCAACGAUGCGUAGCCGACCUGAGAGGGUGAUCGGCCACACUGGAACUGAGUCACGGUCCAGACUCCUACGGGAGGCAGCAGUAGGGAAUCUUCCGCAAUGGGCGAAAGCCUGACGGAGCAACGCCGCGUGAGUGAUGAAGGUCUUCGGAUCGUAAAACUCUGUUAUUAGGGAAGAACAAAUGUGUAAGUAACUAUGCACGUCUUGACGGUACCUAAUCAGAAAGCCACGGCUAACUACGUG
rnacentral:rRNA from 1 species